rnacentral:rRNA from 1 species
AGUGAACGCUGGCGGCGUGCCUAAUACAUGCAAGUCGAACGGAGUGGCGCACGGGUGAGUAAUGUAUAGCUAAGCUGCCCUACACUAGAGGACAACAGUUGGUAACGACUGCUAAUACUCUAUAGUGUAGGUUGAGGGUAUAUUGUAUCAGCUAGUUGGUGAGUUAAUGGCUCACCAAGGCUAUGAAGCAUAACUGGUCGGAGAGGAUGACCAGUCACAUCGGAACGGAGACACGGUCCGGACUCAUUCGGGAGGCAGCAGUAGGGAAUAUUGCUCAAUGGGGGAAACCCUGAAGCAGCAACGGCGCGUGAAGGAUGUCACUUUUCGGAGCAUAAACUCCUUUUGUUAGGGAAGCGGUACCUAACGAAUAAGCACCGGCUAACUACGUGCCAGCAGCCGCGGUAAUUC